AAGUCGUAACAAGGUUUCCGUAGGUGAACCUGCGGAAGGAUCAUUAUCGAGUUAGGGUCAGCGUGGCCCGACCUCCAACCCUCUGUUUAAACACCACGUUGCUUUGGCGGGCCCGCCUCGCGGCCGCCGGAGGCCCUCGGGCCUCUGGCCAGCGCCCGCCAAUGGCCACACCUACAAACUCUGGACAAAGCCGUGACGUUCUUAGUUGAUUUAUAAUGACCUAAAAACUUUCAACAACGGAUCUCUUGGUUCUG
rnacentral:misc_RNA from 1 species